UACGGAGGGUGCGAGCGUUAUUCGGAAUCACUGGGCGUAAAGCGCGCGUAGGCGGUCUGUUAAGUGGGAUGUGAAAUCCCCGGGCUUAACCUGGGAAUUGCAUUUCAAACUGGCCGACUAGAGUACGGUAGAGGGAGGUAGAAUUUCCUGUGUAGCGGUGAAAUGCGUAGAUAUAGGAAGGAAUACCAGUGGCGAAGGCGGCCUCCUGGAUCGAUACUGACGCUGAGGCGCGAAAGCGUGGGGAGCAAACAGG
rnacentral:rRNA from 1 species